AUUGAACACUGGCGGCAGGCCUAACACAUGCAAGUCGAACGGUAACAGGAAGCAGCUUGCUGCUUUGCUGACGAGUGGCGGACGGGUGAGUAAUGUCUGGGAAACUGCCCGAUGGAGGGGGAUAACUACUGGAAACGGUAGCUAAUACCGCAUAACGUCGCAAGACCAAAGAGGGGGACCUUAGGGCCUCUUGCCAUCGGAUGUGCCCAGAUGGGAUUAGCUAGUAGGUGGGGUAACGGCUCACCUAGGCGACGAUCCCUAGCUGGUCUGAGAGGAUGACCAGCCACACUGGAACUGAGACACGGUCCAGACUCCUACGGGAGGCAGCAGUGGGGAAUAUUGCACAAUGGGCGCAAGCCUGAUGCAGCCAUGCCGCGUGUAUGAAGAAGGCCUUCGGGUUGUAAAGUACUUUCAGCGGGGAGGAAGGGAGUAAAGUUAAUACCUUUGCUCAUUGACGUUACCCGCAGAAGAAGCACCGGCUAACUCCGUG
rnacentral:rRNA from 1 species